AACGUAGGACACGAGCGUUAUCCGGAGUUACUGGGCGUAAAGGGCGGGUAGGUGGUGCGAUAAGACUGGUGUGAAAGCCUUCGGCUUAACCGAGGGAGGACACUGGUGACUGUCGGACUUGAGGCAGAUAGAGGGGUGUAGAAUUCCGGGUGUAGUGGUGAAAUGCGUAGAGAUCCGGAGGAAUACCAGAGGCGAAGGCGGCACCCUGGGUCUGACCUGACACUGAUCCGCGACAGCAUGGGGAGCGAACAGG
rnacentral:rRNA from 1 species